CCUGAGAUGUGUUUUGCUGUGGGGUUCUUCGUCGGUGGGAUAUGGGGAUCCUGGGAUGGUAAUGGGGGUCCUGUCACGGACUGUGGAACUCUGAGGACCCAGGAGAGGACUGAGGGCUUAAGGGAGGUCUGAGGAAGAAAACAAGGGGGUUCAGUGGGAGCUCAGAGGGGGAUGUGUGCUGCUGCUGGGGACUGCAGAAGCCUGUGAUGGCCCAGCUUGUCUGUGGGGGAGAUGUGCUGAGUCUGAGAAGGUCCUUGAGGAGCUAUAGGGCUCUCUGGGGGUGUGUUUGGUGGAUAUAGG
ensembl:lncRNA